rnacentral:rRNA from 1 species
GACGAACGCUGGCGGCGUGCCUAAUACAUGCAAGUCGAACGCUGAAGCGAGGAGCUUGCUCUUCUUGGAUGAGUUGCGAACGGGUGAGUCACGCGUAUGUAACCUGCCUUGUAGCGGGGGAUAACUAUUGGAAACGAUAGCUAAUACCGCAUAACAAUGGAUGACACAUUUCAUUUAUUUGAAAGGGGCAAUUGCUCUACUACAAGAUGGACCUGCGUUUUAUUAGUUAGUAGGUGCGGUAAAGGCUCACCUAGGCGACGAAUCGUAGCCGACCUGAGCGGGUGGGCCGCCAGACUGGGAGUGUGACACGGCCCAGUGUGCCUGAGGGGGGAGCCGGAGGGAUACUGGGGGCAGCGGGGGAAAACUGAGCGCGCAACGCCGAGUGCGGGUAGAAGGUUGUCGGGUCGUAAAGGUCGGCUGUCAGUCAAUAAAGGGUGUGAGAGUGGAACGUUCACACUGUGACGGUAACUGACCAGAAAGGAACGGCUAACUACGUG